UGGGGAAUCUUGGGCAAUGGGGGCAACCCUGACCCAGCGACGCCGUGUGGGGGACGAAGGCCUUCGGGUUGUAAACCCCUGUUAGGUGGGACGAAUGCCCCUUUAGGAAUACUAGAGGGGUUUGACGGUACCACCAGAGAAAGCCCCGGCUAACUCCGUGCCAGCAGCCGCGGUAAUACGGAGGGGGCGAGUGUUGUUCGGAAUUAUUGGGCGUAAAGGGCGCGCAGGCGGCUUGGCAAGUCGAGUGUGAAAUCCCUUAGCUUAACUGAGGAACUGCGCUCGAAACUACCUCGCUAGAGGGCGGGAGAGGGAAGUGGAACUCUCGGUGUAGGGGUGAAAUCUGUAGAUAUCGAGAGGAACACCGGUGGCGAAGGCGGCUUCCUGGCCCGCAUCUGACGCUGAGGCGCGAAAGCGUGGGGAGCAAACAG
rnacentral:rRNA from 1 species